rnacentral:rRNA from 1 species
AGAAGGUGCUUGCACUUUGCUGACGAGUGGCGGACGGGUGAGUAACGCGUAGGAAUCUACCUAUCUGUGGGGGAUACCAGUUGGAAACGACUGUUAAUACCGCACAAUACCUGAGGGUUAAAGGUGGCAACUUGUUGCUGCCGCGGAUGGAUGAGCCUGCGUUAGAUUAGCUUGUUGGUGGGUAAAGGCCUACCAAGGCUACGAUCUAUAGCUGAUUUGAGAGGAUGAUCAGCCACAUUGGAACUGAGACACGGUCCAAACUCC